CGUAAAUUUCUGUGUAUUUGACUUCAUUUCCUGUAAUUUACCGUCUCUCUGGUCCGCUAUCUAGGCAUUGCAUUAGGUAUACAUGUAGCUCUAGGAACACUAACACUCGUUGUUUAACUAAUCCUAUGAAUGUGUAAGAAAUAUAUAAUAUUAAGAACACUGUGUCAGUGUGAAGUGAACGUUUUUGAUAAUAUAGUCGGAUAAUAUAUUCGUGAUACUCUUUAUUUUGUUGAGAAGUUACUAAACAAUGAUGUUGUGAUCGACGGGAAAACAAUUAUAUGCGAUGUCUAAACUUGAAUGGGAUUGAUUAAAAGAUCAAAAGACCGAUACUGGAAAAGAUAAUGACUGUGACAAAAGGCGCUAAUCGAAGAAAACAAAUAUCAGAGACGAACAAUUACACAUGCAUUAGAUAUACAUGUCCAAGAGAAGAACGAAUAGACAUGCAUAACAUUCCAGGUCAAAUAUUGAACAAGGAUCAGAAGAAAGAAUAGAUUUAGACAUUUGUGAAAGGAACUAUGGAAACUUUGGAAGUGUACUCUUUCUGAAACGUAUAACUACAACAAAGAUGUGAUCAUUUUAUUAGAAACUGAAUUUUCCAGUCUUCUAGUGGUUUAAUUAGCAUACAAUGAUAUAUACCUUCAUGUUUUUAUACACUUAUCUUUUUUAUAUUUUUUUUAUCUUUAUAUUAUAUUUGAUCGAAGUAGCAAUGAAAAAAACGGGAAUAUAUAAAUAUAUAAGAGAAAGUUAUUGCAUUUUAUACUUGGAAUAACUUAAAGAGGAGAUAUGACGUUUCAUUGAUCCUUGAUAUUAGCACAAUUGUACGUGAUAUUAGUAACUCAUUUUAAUGGAAUAUAGCUGAAUUCAGAUACAUCGGUUCAGAAAGCGAUGCGACCUUGACUCAGCCCAUAUGUUUACCCGUAUAGAAUACUUUUUCGAUCAUAUUUGAAAUUCCUUUUUAAAUCAAAAACUAUUUAUUUGUAUGAAUGGGAUCGUCCGACAAAGAUUUCAAUUUCUCAGUCGGACAUAUUUUUUGUUGUUUAAGCAUUUUUAAAAUAGUUUAGAAACAAAAGAUCGUGCUCUAAUACUCAUUAUAUGACAAACUUUCCAGAAGGACCAUUCUUAGCCUAAAUCUGGAGUCCAGGUGUAUUUUAUUUUUAAUAUACAUUUCUCUGUAAAGCUAUUGUAUUUCUUUUAAAUUGCAUACUUUUACUCUUUGUAUAAGAUACGUUAUUAUUAUUUGAGUAAGCAUGCAGCUGAAGCAUCUUUUGUUCAGCUGCUUUGUCUGUAUGGAUAACAUCAAAGCGUAUAUAUCAAAAACACUAAAAAUAACAGAUAAAAGUGAAAAAUGUAAAUUGAAACAUUCGCAAUAUCUAAAUUUAAUAGAUGAUGUUUUUAAAGGAGAUUCAGACCAGGAACUAAAGAACUAGGAAAUUCUACAUGGUCGGGUAUGCGUAACACUAUACCACACGGCCGAUCAGUCGAUAAAUAGUAUGUAGAUAUUUUUCUCUAAUUACGUGGUUGACCUUGCUCAAAUGACAGGUCAUCCCUAUUAAAAUUGCUAGUUUUAUGCAUGUGCAGGCUUUUCAUUUACUUUGCAAAUAAAUUAUAUAUGCAACGAUAAAAAUGUUUACUAAGAUUAACAUAUACAUACACGAGAUACUGGAAACAAUUAUUAGCCACGGAUAGGGUAGUUUUGAUACAAGAACACCUUUAUAUUUUACACUGCGGGUCUUAGUCGUGUAACGUAUUGUUGAAAUUACUGUUGUUAUAAUGAUAUCUUAAACAAUGUGCGUCAUUUCAAGUCUAUGAUUCAGAGGUUUUGAUUUAUUCAUGCUAAUGUUAAAGAUAUAGUAAGAAAAGUAUAUUAGCAUAGGCAUUAUUGCUAUACCCUGUAACACCUUUAUACGUCUUUUUACAACAUACAUGUUUAUAUUUGUUAAAGGGAGCAAACUCAAAUAAA